rnacentral:rRNA from 1 species
CCUACGGGAGGCAGCAGUGGGGAAUAUUGCACAAUGGGGGAAACCCUGAUGCAGCGACGCCGCGUGAGCGAUGAAGUAUUUCGGUAUGUAAAGCUCUAUCAGCAGGGAAGAUAAUGACGGUACCUGACUAAGAAGCUCCGGCUAAAUACGUGCCAGCAGCCGCGGUAAUACGUAUGGAGCAAGCGUUAUCCGGAUUUACUGGGUGUAAAGGGAGCGUAGGCGGUCCUGCAAGUCUGAUGUGAAAGGCCGGGGCUCAACCCCGGGACUGCAUUGGAAACUGUAGGACUAGAGUGUCGGAGGGGUAAGUGGAAUUCCUAGUGUAGCGGUGAAAUGCGUAGAUAUUAGGAGGAACACCAGUGGCGAAGGCGGCUUACUGGACGACUACUGACGCUGAGGCUCGAAAGCGUGGGGAGCAAACAGGAUU